rnacentral:rRNA from 1 species
AGCGAACGCUGGCGGCAGGCCUAACACAUGCAAGUCGAACGAACUCUUCGGAGUUAGUGGCGGACGGGUGAGUAACACGUGGGAACGUGCCUUUAGGUUCGGAAUAACUCAGGGAAACUUGUGCUAAUACCGAAUGUGCCCUUCGGGGGAAAGAUUUAUCGCCUUUAGAGCGGCCCGCGUCUGAUUAGCUAGUUGGUGAGGUAAAGGCUCACCAAGGCGACGAUCAGUAGCUGGUCUGAGAGGAUGACCAGCCACAUUGGGACUGAGACACGGCCCAAACUCCUACGGGGGGCAGCAGUGGGGAAUCUUGCGCAAUGGGCGAAAGCCUGACGCAGCCAUGCCGCGUGAAUGAUGAAGGUCUUAGGAUUGUAAAAUUCUUUCGCCGGGGACGAUAAUGACGGUACCCGGAGAAGAAGCCCCGGCUAACUUCGUGCCAGCCGCCGCCGUAACAC